UAUGGCCAUAUCAUGUUGAAACGCCAGUUCUCGUACGAUUAGUGAAGUUAAGCAACAUUAAGCCUGGUCAGUACCUAGAUGGGUGACCGUUUAGGAAUACCAGAUGCU